GGGAAUAGUCCCCCGAUGGGGACGGGGAUGGGGAUUCCCCGAAACCUAAUAAACGGGGAUGGGUUCAGGGACGGGAGCGGGGAUGGAGAGCAGGGAUGAGGAUGGUAUUGUCAUACCCGGCCCCUACCCGACCCGUUGCCAUCCCUAGAUGAGAUGCUUCUAUAUAUAUAACAAGCAAACUUCGUAUGUAAUUAAGCUUUGGAUCAGAAGCUUCUAGAAAAUUCCGUUUGCUUUGAAUUACCUUCUCUUGAAGCAAUGCUGGUUCGUUAUCUUUCCCUUGCCUAUUUAUAGCGUACGAAAACUCAUAAUGGCUUUUCCAUUUGAGUUCUCUGCUUAUGCAUUGCUUUCAUAUUUCUCAUAAUUCAGUUGUUUGUACUGCCUUCUCCUUGAUUGCCUCAUCCUCGUG
rnacentral:lncRNA from 1 species